GGGGAUAUAGCUCAGUUGGGAGAGCGCUUGUCUGGCAGACAAGAGGUCGGGGGUUCGAAUCCCCCUAUCUCCACCA
rnacentral:tRNA from 3 species